GGCAGUUCUCAGGUGACACACCCCAGAAUCAGGCUCCCUCUCUCUGGUUCCGGGUGUGUAACCCAAGAACUGCA
rfam:Myotis brandtii contig158758, whole genome shotgun sequence.